AGUGCGGACUGUCAAACUAAAUGUCACUAACUUGUUGUUGUGUGAUUAUUGUAAAUUUUCGUGCGAAAAAAUGUCGAAACCCUUUAAGAGUAGUGCCCAUUACAGGUUGCUGUGUACAAUGACAAGCAAGUAUGAACAGAGAAAGGAAAAUAUGAUCAGCGCUUCGAGGAAAAACAACGAUUUUUUGAUGAAAUUAUUUCAGCUUGAAGACUGUCUGAUGACGUAAUUUUAAAUGUAAGAUCCAAGAAUUAGUCAAAGAUGAAAGAACUCAAAUAUGUUGAGAAAAAGGUCAGAAUACCACCGAAUCCAGUUAUUUGGCCCAUUCAUCUAAACUAAUAGAUUGAAGUUGGUGUCAACAUAAUUAGGCCAAUAAAAAAAGAAGGUUCCUUAAUCCAAGGUGUGUCAAACACACCAGGAAAAAAAGGGACUUGUCACUCCAGAGUUUCAAACUUAGAUGAUUUUAACAUGUCAACAAUUCUUAAUAAAAUAAAUUAAUUUCACUGUGUGAAGACUCAAGUUCCAACAAUAAUACCUUUGUAAGCAGAACUGCAAAAAUCCAUUAGAUUCACUGGAUCUCUAGAGACUUUGAGGACAAUAUUUUUAAAGAAUGGUUUUGAGUUUAAAACUAAUAGAAAUGAAAGAUUCUAAUUGAAAAGUUUAAAUUUUUGCUCUGAUAUCCAGUUAUCUUAGAGCUGUAUAAGUGACAAGAAGGAAAGACCUUUACCUGGAUGAAACAUAUGUCCACCAAAAUUACUAGCCAAAAAAGUCAUGGCAAAGGACCAAGUAUGAGUGGAGUAACUGACAAAACUUCUAAAGGUUUUUGUAAAAUAAAUUUUGACUUUUUUGGAAUGAUUUUCAGAAUGUUUGAUUGUUAUUUUUAUUACUAUGUUGUUAUUUUUUAAGUAAAAGAUACAUCAUAGUCUAUGCUGGCUCUGAGAAGGGUUUUUGCAUUAUUGGUGUUCAGAACAAAAAUCUAAAAUGGCUGAUUACCAUGAUGAUAUAAACCGCAAUAACUUCAUGAGAUGGUUGGAAGAAAAAUUGAGACAGAAUUUUACUGAACCUACUUGUAAUGGAUAAUGCAAGUUAUCAUGUAACUCAAAUUAAGAAGCCACUUACUAGAGCAGUUUAAAGGCUGAUAUUUAGAAGCAACUCACCAAAAAUGAUAUUCUCGUUGACAAAACUUUUACAAAAGCUGAGCUUUUGUGUCUUUUGUGUGGCAAGUAUGAAUCUAGGCAUGCCAGCUGCCAAAAUGGAAUAUUUAAUAAGAAAAUGUUUUACCAGUGUGACUGCUGAUGACUGGAUCCAAUGGAUCAUGGGAUUACUGUUGAAAAUAAGUACAUGGUAAAAGACAGAAUAACAAGAGGAACCUGAACCAUUUCUCAUCCAUGUUCAUGACAAUAAAAGUUACAGCGAUGAAUCAUUUGAAGGUGUCAAACUUCUUAAAUCAGAUUUUGGUUAUGGUUCCUAAUGAAUAAAUAUUUUUAAG